rnacentral:piRNA from 2 species
UGGCUCAGAGGUUAAGAGCACUGAC